AUCCAGGAAUAAGGAGUAAAAUGGAGUGGCUGAUUUCACAAAAUAUGUGAGUUUCCCUCUGAAAAAAAGCAGUUGUGAACCAGGAUGAGGAGGAGGAUUUUGAAAUGUUUCAACAGAAUGUGUUGCAAAAUCACACAAGAUAAACAGAUGCUCUCCUUUCACUUUCUUCCUUUGUAUAGUUUUUCUAGAGCACAGCAAGAUGAGAGGGUGCCUACCACUUCCCUUCCCCUCCGAUGUGGAACUGCGCAGAGGGAGGCAAAAGGCUAAUUUAAGGUCACAGAGCAUCCAGUGUCCCCAGGGGCUCAGUCUGAGCCCCCGCCUCACAGCCACUCAAGAAACCUGGGAUGGCCAGCUGGCAACCUCUGUUUCCCAACUGGAGAAACCAUCGAUUUGGCCGCAGACAAAAUCCUUAAGCCACGGGCGUUCAGAGGUUCAGGAACAGGAAGUAGCAGUGCAAGCAAAAACAGGCCACGUGACUGGCUCUGGGCGGCGACACCGCACGUCGCCGCCAGGCUCAGCCCCGGUCACUCCAUCGCUGCCCAUCGCUGACCUCGGUGCUGGCGCCGAGGGGGCCCGCGGAUGUAACGGAAGGCCCUCACCAGCUGGCCUGAACUCGGAACAAUUACCCCGAUGCCCAGGGUGGGCCUGACGAAGCCCUUCAAAGCAGAGCGGAGGCUUCCCUGUCCCAAGGAUGGCCACUGUGGUCCUCACCACGCAGCUCUGCCUGCUCUGAGCCUCCUCCCGUGACUGGUUUCUUGGGAGGGCUCACUACCUCCUCCCUUUUAGGGCCAAACUGAUAGACCACAUGUUGCUCAUCUGCUCGUCUCGGCUGAUGGGCACCUGGGCCGCCUCCCCUUUUUACGAAUAAUGCGGCUGUGAAUGCCUGUGGGGAAGCUUCUGUGCGACGUCUCUUCAGCUCUCACAGGUGAUGUCCAGGAGCUGAACUGCUGAGCUAACUUCUCGAGGUCCUGCCAAACCCUUUCUCAAAGCAGCCGCAUCACGUUACAGCCCCGCCAGGAACGUGAGCGUUCCCACGUCUCCCCAUCUUCACCAUCUCUAGGGCCGGGGCCCUGCGUCCAGCUCAAAAGGAAACUUCCCUUUUCCUCCUGACACCCUCCUAUCAAUUUUCCUUUGUCAUCAUUUCCAAGUUCCAGAGGCCACAGGAGCACAGCUCCCUCUGCGAAGGGGGCUCCCGCGGUGAACGCGGAGGAGCCGGCCGGUCCUCUCCAGAUGCCCCAGCCGAUCAGGGAGAGGACGUCCCCGCCGGCCUCCACGCCCCGCAGUCCGUCCAGCGUUCCUUGUCUGCCUGCUCGUCCCCCACGAGAUCAGAUUCAUGGGUCCUACCUGGGAAGAUUGUGGCCUGGCUGUAAGCAGCCCGAAACUUCUGCAAGCCACGUGUGUGAUAUUUUAGGAUCACACACUGAGACCUACAAACGAGACUGACCCCAAAGGGAUGCGACCCCCACAGCCUGCAGUGAAGCCUGUCUCACUGGCCCCACGGUUUCCCCUCAAAUCACGCCUUGGUUCUAGUCAAACAAUUUCCGUACAGCAUUAACUCUCCUGACCCAAAUUUCCUCCCCUCGUGUUCUUCUUUUCACCCAAUCUCAUUUUAAUUCGGGUGUCUCUUCAUUCUACUUAAAUUAAAACAUUUACAAGGUAUGACAGUCCAUUCCUCAUGGAGCCAAUAUUUUCCAUUAAGAAAAAUGAAAUAGCUCUAACUUAGUCUUAAUUUCUAUGCCUUAAAGAUGUGAAGGAUAAUUGCUUAUCCGUCUGAGUUGCUUAAUUUCACUAAACACCAGAUAUUAAAUGCUAUUUUGAGGCCCCCCCCAAAAAACUUCACUACUUCUUAAGAUCUAUUUUUGUUGGUAUAUUAGAAUCCAAAACGAGGAAACCAAAUUCUACCACAAACCUGAAGAAAAGUGACCUCAAACCGUCAGAGAUAACGUGUGAAAAUGCAGUAUAACGCUUUUUCAGACCCUGAAAACACUGAUGAGCAAAGGAUCAGCUCAUUGGCCUAUUCCAGUGACUUCCAGAAUUAAUAAUUAUUAAAAACACAAAGAGCAAAAUGGAGAAAAGUGCGUCAUCAUGUUUCAGGUUUACCCACCCACGUGCACGUCCCUGGAUUGCUCUUGAAAUUUGGCCCCAAAUUGAAUUUAUUGCAUAGAAUAACACCGAAUGUUUACCAAGUCUCUUUUAUGUCUCCCAGGGACUGAAGUUUCAAAUCACAUGGUGCUUUUUUUUAAGCACUUGAGGUCAAGCAGGAAGAGAUUCCUUUUACGUUGGAAAGGAAUCAAGGCAUUCAGGGCAGAUUUGAGUCAUCUUUCAUUGCUAAGCACUCCUCAGACAUUUGUUAAGUGUAAGCCCCUAAUUUGGCAAAGAAAUCCAGGCCCCCAGCACCGAGGCUUCGCCCGCCUGGGCUGUCACAGAGGCAGCGGGUCUGCCCCAAAGCCGGGAGGGGCUGCUGCCUUCCCAGACCUUUGACCUUCCUGUACCCCAAACUCCCGCUCCUCAGUGAGGAAGUUAAAGAGAAGAAAAAAAUAUUUCAAACUCAGUCACAAGUGUGCCUGGUCACCAUGAAGGCAGACUUUGUUCCCAACUUUAAAAGCUAAUUCUUCUUCUCGAGAUUAGUGCUGGACUCCGUCCUUCUGGGAAAAAAAGAGAACGCUCUAAGCCCCCGAAAACGAGCUUUCACCUGAUCCUAAUUUUCUUCUUAGUUAGAAAGGCUAUUGUUUGUUUGAACAAAGAGAAAUCGGAGCUAUUAGUGGCUGUUUACAUUGUAGGAAUGAGGGCACAGGGUGGGGGGGGAUGUCUUCAUUAAGGAGCUGGGGAUGUGAUGACUGAAACUGAAGGCAGUUUCCCCCGUAUUUUAUAUUCCCCCCACCCAACCAAGAGGCUAUAUUUGUCCUCUGUUAUUUUCGGUAGAUCUAGGUUUAGUGUUAAAAUUUAGAUUAAACACAUAUUAAAUGAAGUAAAU